UAUCAGCUUUCACCAAGGGGAAGGACCAGGGCGCAAUUUAAGUGGAACUUAGUGUUUGUUUUCUUUCCUGCUACAAUCUUCAUUGUCGAACUUCUGGUCACAAGUCUAUUCAUGGCAGAAAGUAUAGAUUAUGACACAAUAGAACUACUGCUUCUCAUUAUUAUCAUCAGUUGGACUAUCUUGUUGCUGAGUUUGUUAGUCUACUGCCUAAAACUGUGUUCUUCCCUUUUGUUUUCAUAGAAGACCAAGUCCUCCUAGCUUUCACUAAAGAGAAUGUGACCACUUUGAAAACUCCAAGCAUAGGCAACGUUGGAUGGAAUCUUUCCAAAAGGCAAAGCACAUAGGAAAACAACUAUGGACUCUAAAUUAAAAGAACUAACCACGAAACUGUAA